rnacentral:rRNA from 1 species
UGGGGAAUCUUGGACAAUGGGGGCAACCCUGAUCCAGCCAUGCCGCGUGAGUGAUGAAGGCCUUAGGGUCGUAAAGCUCUUUCGCCUGUGAAGAUAAUGACGGUAGCAGGUAAAGAAACCCCGGCUAACUCCGUGCCAGCAGCCGCGGUAAUACGGAGGGGGUUAGCGUUGUUCGGAAUUACUGGGCGUAAAGCGCACGUAGGCGGACCAGAAAGUUGGGGGUGAAAUCCCGGGGGCUCAACCCCGGAACUGCCUCCAAAACUAUUGGUCUAGAGUUCGAGAGAGGUGAGUGGAAUUCCAAGUGUAGAGGUGAAAUUCGUAGAUAUUUGGAGGAACACCAGUGGCGAAGGCGGCUCACUGGCUCGAUACUGACGCUGAGGUGCGAAAAGUGUGGGGAGCAAAACAGGAUUAGAUACCCUGGUAGUCCACACCGUAAAACGAUGAAUGCCAGUCGUCGGGGUAGCAUGCUAUUCGGUGACAC